GUGUGUGUGUGUGUCUGUAUGUAUGUGUGUCUCUGUAUGUAUGUGUCUGUAUGAUACAUACAGAUACAUACAGAGACACACACAUAUACACAAACAU
rnacentral:miRNA from 1 species